GGGUUAAGUCCCGCAACGAGCGCAACCCUAUCUUAUGUUGCCAGCACGUUAUGGUGGGGACUCGUAAGAGACUGCCGGGGUCGAACUCGGAGGAAGGUGGGGACGGACGUCAAGUCAUCAUGCCCCUUAUGCCCAGGGCUUCACACAUGCUACAAUGGCCAGUACAGAGGGCUGCGAGACCGUGAGGUGGAGCGAAUCCCUUAAAGCUGGUCUCAGUUCGGAUCGGGGUCUGCAACUCGACCCCGUGAAGUCGGAGUCGCUAGUAAUCGCAGAUCAGCAACGCUGCGGUGAAUACGUUCCCGGGCCUU
rnacentral:rRNA from 1 species